GAUGAACGCUGGCGGCGUGCCUAAUACAUGCAAGUCGGGCGAACGGACGAGAAGCUUGCUUCUCUGAUGUUAGCGGCGGACGGGUGAGUAACACGUGGAUAACCUACCUAUAAGACUGGGAUAACUUCGGGAAACCGGAGCUAAUACCGGAUAAUAUUUUGAACCGCAUGGUUCAAAAGUGAAAGACGGUCUUGCUGUCACUUAUAGAUGGAUCCGCGCUGCAUUAGCUAGUUGGUAAGGUAACGGCUUACCAAGGCAACGAUGCAUAGCCGACCUGAGAGGGUGAUCGGCCACACUGGAACUGAGACACGGUCCAGACUCCUACGGGAGGCAGCAGUAGGGAAUCUUCCGCAAAGGGCGAAAGCCUGACGGAGCAACGCCGCGUGAGUGAUGAAGGUCUUCGGAUCGUAAAACUCUGUUAUUAGGGAAGAACAUAUGUGUAAGUAACUGUGCACAUCUUGACGGUACCUAAUCAGAAAGCCACGGCUAACUACGUG
rnacentral:rRNA from 1 species